ACGUAAUUACUUUUACAAUGAAGAUUUUUCCCCUAAAUUUGCUAUCCAUGUAAUACACAUAUACAAAAUAUAUGUGGUCACUAUUGUUUUCAUCUGUUUACUGACUUUGCCUUAUAUUAGUUACAAAAAAAAAUCUACUCUCUCUUGUUCCUAAAAAAGAAAAUACCUGUACCAAAAAAAUCUACUCUCCCUUGUUCUUAAAAAAGAAAAUACCUUUGAAAAAAUUGAAAGAGAAUAGCUGUGAAAUUAGAGUUUUCAUUAAUUUUGGCUUCUUUAACUUCUGCUGCAACUUUUAUACGUAAACUCUUUAUUUGUGCUAUUGUGCAGUCUUUCACUUAGUAGGAUUGUGCUUUCACAGUAGAGGCACAAAUAAUUCUACCAAACAGCCUUAAACAUUGCUUUGUCUUAGGCUAUCCAAAGUGUCCUCAGGAAGUAUGAAAUACAGAGAAGCAAAAAUUUCACUGCAUGAAUUGUCAUAAAAGUAAUAUGCUGAGUCCCAGGUGUUGAUUCGAUGUAAAUCUGAAAGAUGACACUGGCUCAAUAAUUGAAACUAUUAGGGGAGAAGAAGGAGAAAAAUUAUCAUCUCUUACAGCAGAACAGAUUUAUGAGCUUACUUCAACUAAGGUUGACCAACUUUUCUUUUACAGUUACUUUUGAAUUUUAUGGAACAAAGGAGUUUGUGAAUUUUGUGAAAUAUUGUUCUUCCUGAUUUGCACCACUGUGAAGAUUUUGGAGAAAAGAACUACCAACUUACCAUCUAUCAUCUACCUAACGGCCCAACAGGUGUGGCUCCAUAACCUCAGUUUUGAACUUCUUCUUUACACAGUUGAAAAGGUCGAUGAUAAUUCUAAGGAAGAUCCUUCUUGUAGCAAGUAACUUGUCUCUGUCAUGGACUAAUUUGUAAUCAGUUUACAAGAAAACUAUAAAUUGGUGUAUGUAUUAAACAUAGUGCAUGCUGAUCGGAUAAAAAAUAAAGGAGAAAUUAUUAUACGAGUAGCAAGUUAGUAUUUAUAGAAGACACAUUGCAUCACUGUCACUACAUCAAUAAGGUUUCUCAUUCUUCAGUCAGAGGGUUGGUUCAUUUUACAAAUUGUGAAGAAUAAAAUUCUUAACGAUCUCUGUGGACACUAAGCACAAAAAGUUCACCUUCAAUGAAUAAAUUGGACGAAUAGGAUAAAAAUGAAAACAAAGUAGUAAUAAAAGAAUUGAUACCUUGUCAACUAAAUAAUGAAAUAAGACUGAAAGUUGUUAUUUCUCUGUUUGCAAUUGUUUAUAACUUUAUAUCAAUCUUUAUGUGAAAAAUUCGAAGUUGCUUUGUAUGUUCAACAGGAAUAAAACAUUAACAUUCUAUGAAACAAGUUGGCACACUUGUAUAGAAUCUGCAAUUGGCCAUUUAAGUAAUAUUAACACUUUGAUCAGUUUACAUUUUUUUCACUACACUUUUGAUGUCAUUGCUUUUCAUUUUUAAUUUAGUUAACAUGUGACAGCACAUUGUCAUUGUUACUGAUAUUUCCAUGAAAUCCAAAAUUUAUCAUUGGAGAAACACAAUGGAAAGAAAUGCUACCUAUUAGCUGCAAUAUCACUAGCAAUUGUUUAGGUUGACACACCUACGUACUGGAGAUGGAUGUCCCUUCCUGAGUGCAGUGAAAUAGGUAGCUGUUGAAGGUGAUGUUGCAACAUAACACCCAAAGAAGAAGACGUUUUAGAAGUUCAAUUCACAAAAGCCAGUCUUAGUUCUCCACCACUGUCUUCAACAAAAUAUUGUUUCUACAACCAACCAACAAUAAUGCACCACUCUUGUACCAUUAGCUUUCAACUUUGGCACUAUUUGUACCAAGAAAUGGUUAUAUGUAGUACUUUCACAAGCUAACAACAUAACAAUGUAAUCUUUGUUCCACAUAUUAUGAAACAUAACUCUUUGUACCACAUAUUAUGAAAUAUAAUUGUUUUAU